GUAGGUGGCAAGCGUUGUCCGGAGUUAUGGGCGUAAAGCGCGCGCAGGCGGGUUCUUUAAGUCUGAUGUGAAAGCCCACGGGCUCAACCGUGGAGGGUCAUUGGAAACUGGAGAACUUGAGUACAGAAGAGGAAAGCGGAAUUCCACGUGUAGCGGUGAAAUGCGUAGAGAUGUGGAGGAACACCAGUGGCGAAGGCGGCUUUCUGGUCUGUAACUGACGCUGAGGCGCGAAAGCGUGGGGAGCAAACAGGAUUAGAUACCCUGGUAGUCCACGCCGUAAACGAUGAGUGCUAAGUGUUAGGGGGUUUCCGCCCCUUAGUGCUGCAGCUAACGCAUUAAGCACUCCGCCUGGGGAGUACGGCCGCAAAGGCUG
rnacentral:rRNA from 1 species